AUUGAACGCUGGCGGCAUGCUUUACGCAUGCAAGUCGAACGGCAACGAGGAGAAGCUUGCUUCUCUGUCGGCGAGUGGCGAACGGGUGAGUAUAGCAUCGGAACGUGCCAAGUAGUGGGGGAUAACCAAACGAAAGUUUGGCUAAUACCGCGUAAGCUCCAAGGAGGAAAGUAGGGGACCUAAAUAAGGCCUUACGCUAUUUGAUCGGCCGAUGUCGGAUUAGCUAGUUGGUGGGGUAAUGGCUCACCAAGGCAAUGAUCCGUAGCGGGUCUGAGAGGACGAUCCGCCACACUGGGACUGAGACACGGCCCAGACUCCUACGGGAGGCAGCAGUGGGGAAUUUUGGACAAUGGGGGAAACCCUGAUCCAGCCAUGCCGCGUGUAUGAAGAAGGCCUUAGGGUUGUAAAGUACUUUUGUUAGGGAAGAAAAGCUAGUUUUUAAUAAAAAUUAGUGAUGACGGUACCUAAAGAAUAAGCACCGGCUAACUACGUG
rnacentral:rRNA from 1 species